UACAGAGGGUGCAAGCGUUGUUCGGAAUCAUUGGGCGUAAAGCGCGUGUAGGCGGCCCGGUAAGUCCGCUGUGAAAGUCCAGGGCUCAACCCUGGGAUGCCGGUGGAUACUGUCGGGCUCGAGUCCGGAAGAGGCGAGUGGAAUUCCUGGUGUAGCGGUGAAAUGCGCAGAUAUCAGGAGGAACACCAAUGGCGAAGGCAGCUCGCUGGGACGUGACUGACGCUGAGACGCGAAAGCGUGGGGAGCAAACAGG
rnacentral:rRNA from 1 species